GUACACUCCUACGGGAGGCAGCAGUGGGGAAUAUUGGACAAUGGGCGCAAGCCUGAUCCAGCCAUGCCGCGUGAGUGAUGAAGGCCCUAGGGUUGUAAAGCUCUUUCACCGGUGAAGAUAAUGACGGUAACCGGAGAAGAAGCCCCGGCUAACUUCGUGCCAGCAGCCGCGGUAAUACGAAGGGGGCUAGCGUUGUUCGGCUUUACUGGGCGUAAAGCGCACGUAGGCGGACUAUUAAGUCAGGGGUGAAAUCCCGGGGCUCAACCCCGGAACUGCCUUUGAUACUGGUAGUCUUGAGUUCGAGAGAGGUGAGUGGAAUUCCGAGUGUAGAGGUGAAAUUCGUAGAUAUUCGGAGGAACACCAGUGGCGAAGGCGGCUCACUGGCUCGAUACUGACGCUGAGGUGCGAAAGCGUGGGGAGCAAACAGGAUUAGAUACCCUUGUAGUCCCA
rnacentral:rRNA from 1 species